GGAGAUUGUACUUCCAUGAGCAGCCUCUUCCAGUGCUGAAUGGUUCUAAUCCCGAAGAAUGUCUUUUUAACAUGCAGGUGGAAUUUUCCCUGAAGCAACUUGUACCUGUUGCCACUUGUCCUGUCACUGCGCACACGCGAGAGAAGAGUACAUCCAGCUUCCCUGGAGCUACUCUUUCAGGUACUGGAAGACUGUGAUUAGAUAUCCCCAAGCCUAAUCCUCUCUAGGCUGAACAAACUCCCUUCCACUGAUCUUUCUUCUAGGGAAAGAUCAGCAAUUUUUUUUCCUUCAGGAAAAAAAAAAAAUCAAGCUUUCAAAGUAAACAACUUUCAAUCUUGUGGAGUGCACACAUGGGUCAGACAUGAGCUCUGUGAAUAAGUGUGUGCAUGGGAGAGAAGGAAAAAAGGAAAAGUUGCGCUCUGAGUGAGCUGGAUGCUGAAUUAUAUUUAAUGGUUUACAGUCCCUGAAGACACCAUGUGGGGUGAUGCAGAAUAGCAGAGAGAUGCAAUGGACUCCACAGCAGCAGAUCAGAAUAGACCAAGUCUACAAGAUGCAGGUCGUGUAUGGGGCUCCCAGACAGCCGCUUUGCAGCUCUCAUUUCCCUUUUUGCAGUCACUUUGGAUGGAAGACGCAUAUCAGCAGUUUCACAACACAAAAAGACAGUAGGAGAGAUGAUAACAAUUAUUUGUUUAUGGACCUUCCAAGUUUGUUUCCUGGAAGUAAACCACGUAAAGACCAGAAAAUAUAGUCUACAAAUGUGAAAAUGCUGUAUCAGAUUUCUUAGAUUUGUUUAUCUUAAUGCUCAGCUUGCAAGUUAUCUAUAAUUUUUUAAUUCAGAUUGGGAAAUCUGUAACCAAGCAAGGAAAUAUUCUACUACUUACUACAAAAGACAGGUAACAGCAGAGUAAACAGAAAAAAAAAUGUAUAAAACCAAAUAUCUCCUUAAUUUAGAAAACAGAUAGGCAGAACAUCUAUUGUGUCAUAGCCAAUAACUUGUAGAAGCCAAGUAAAAAUUUAAAAUCUACUCCAGUCAAAAGUUCCAGAAGAAUUACUUUUUUUUUCCCUCUUAAUAGGCUUCAACAAUGGCAAUAAGAAAAUGGUAACUAGACCACAAGAAAGAAUUAUAGAGAUAGCAUUAGGAUCUGUUCAACAUUAAGCUGUAGAAUAGAACCAAGGAUUUUGUACAUGAAAACGCUACUGCUAACAUUGCAUGAAAAGAAGAAAAUAUUCCAGAACUUGUCGCUCACUUAGAAAGUUUAUUCUGAUUAACAGAAGGAGUAGGACUAAAAUGAAGAACCCAGGAUGCUUCUUUGUUAAUAUAAUAAGGGUAGACUUCUGAUGUUCAUUGUGCACAAUGCCUAUUAUGAUUAUUAAUAAAAAGGCUGCAGGGACUCA
rnacentral:lncRNA from 1 species